UACAGAGGUUGCAAUCGUUGUUCGGAAUUACUGGGCGUAAAGGGCGCGUAGGCGGUCUUCUAAGUCUUGUGUGAAAUCCCUCGGCUCAACUGAGGAACUGCACGGGAUACUGGAAGACUUGAGUUCGGGAGAGGGGAGUGGAAUUCCUGGUGUAGCGGUGAAAUGCGUAGAGAUCAGGAGGAACACCCGUGGCGAAGGCGGCUCCCUGGUCCGUUUCUGACGCUGAGACGCGAAAGCGCGGGGAGCGAACGGG
rnacentral:rRNA from 1 species